GUUCAGCAGCCGCGGUAAUACGGAGGGUGCGAGCGUUAAUCGGAAUUACUGGGCGUAAAGCGCAUGCAGGUGGUUUGUUAAGUCAGAUGUGAAAGCCCGGGGCUCAACCUCGGAAUUGCAUUUGAAACUGGCAGGCUAGAGUACUGUAGAGGGGGGUAGAAUUUCAGGUGUAGCGGUGAAAUGCGUAGAGAUCUGAAGGAAUACCGGUGGCGAAGGCGGCCCCCUGGACAGAUACUGACACUCAGAUGCGAAAGCGUGGGGAGCAAACAGGAUUAGAUACCCCGGUAGUCC
rnacentral:rRNA from 1 species